UACAACUUUCAGCAACGGAUCUCUUGGCUCUCGCAUCGAUGAAGAACGCAGCGAAAUGCGAUAAGUAAUGUGAAUUGCAGAAUUCAGUGAAUCAUCGAAUCUUUGAACGCACCUUGCGCUCCUUGGUAUUCCGAGGAGCAUGCCUGUUUGAGUGUCAUGAAAUU
rnacentral:rRNA from 1 species